rnacentral:rRNA from 1 species
CUAAUACCGGAUAAGAUAUCGAACCGCAUGGUUCGAUAGUGAAAGAUGGUUUUGCUAUCACUUAUAGAUGGACCCGCGCCGUAUUAGCUAGUUGGUGAGGUAACGGCUCACCAAGGCAACGAUACGUAGCCGACCUGAGAGGGUGAUCGGCCACACUGGAACUGAGACACGGUCCAGGACUCCUACGGGAGGCAGCAGCC